CCCUGUCUCAAAAUCAAACAAACAAAUAAAACCCAAAAAUAAACAACAACAACAACAACCUAAAGCCAGUGCCUGGUUUAAGUUUUCUGUUUCAUAGGGGUGCAGCCAAGGCUCAGAGAGGUUAAGUAUGUGUCCUGCCCCAGGUCACACAGGGCAGGGUUGAUGCCAGCAACCUUAUCAUUUGUCCCUCUGUAAGCCGGUACAGACACCGGAGCUCAUCCCCUGUCUCAGCAGCAUCCUCAUGGCCACUUCCGGCUCCAUGCCCCUAUCUUGUGCGAGUGGCCAGGCACUCAGGAUGUCACUGGGCGCACCUAAGAGCUGGGGGUUAGCAUGAGUGAGAGAGAGAAGUCCAGGGAAGCCAGAGCAGCCAGGGGAGGGGCUUGCCCUGCCUAGGGCCACACCCGUCUUCAAGUCCUAUUUUAGAGCAUGAUGAUGUUUCCGUUACAGAUAGGGAAACCAGCAGCUAGGGUUCCCUGCAGGCUGAAAGCAGGGGGUUCAGUGGAGGGGGCAAGGCUGGAGCUCACUGCCCUGCUUGAAGCCUGCUGAGAGCAGGUAUAAUUCCUCAAGGGCCAUCCACUUUUUCUGUUUGAGAUGGGCUCCCUCACUAGCCUGGAACUCUCAGUGGUUUUCCAGACUCCUGGCCAGGGAGCCCCAGUCAUCCACCUAUCUCUGCCUCUCCAGCCCCGAGGUUCGUUUGUCUCUGUUGUGGUGGUUGUUUGUUAUGUGGGUUCUGGAGAUGAGAGUCAGUUCUGUGAACCAUGUCUCCAGUCCCCUUGUCCCCAUUUCACCAACAAAGCAGCUCAGACACAAAUCAGUGACUUGUCACACAACCUUGCUGGAAAACUCAAAUGAGGCAGGGGGGCAGAGUGCAUGUGGCCAGGACUGACCUGCUGUGGAGGUUCUGACGGCCAUGUUGGAAACCCAGCAGGGGCAGGUGAGAUUCAGGUUACCAAUUCCCAGAGAACCUGAAGCUCCCAGGACAGCCAUGCCAGGGUCCCUUUGUCCGGAGGCGGUCCCUUUCCCCACCCUCUACCCUGGCCCCACCUAGCAGCCGAGCUUUGUGAAGUGACGCACACACAUCUCUCCAUCUCCUGGUUACUCUUCCCCCAGGUACCUACCUGGUUCCUCCCCAGGGAAGGCAGGGGUGACUUUUUAUCCAUUCACCUGAGCCACUUGGUCCCCAGGCAGUUCAACUUAAUUUGUGCCAAGCACUUUCUGAGUAACGGAGUCCCUGGGGCCAUGAAGUGAGGGAAGGACAGGGCAAGAGGUAAUGGUGGGAGACAGGACAUGCACUGCUGGUUCUGGAACUCUCAGGCUGCCCACCCCCGAGGGACUGGUCACAUUGUACCCAGCCACCAGCAUCACUCUUGAGCCAAUCCAACCUAGUCCAGUUUUUCUACCUCUGCCACCUCCAGAAACGGGGGUGGGGGACACUGAAGACUACCAGGAUAUAGAGCAGGCAGUCCUGGGCUGCGUGUCCUACUACCCACUGUCAAUUAGGUAUAUGUAACCCACAGCCACGUCCUGGUGUCUAGGAGCAGGGUCCAUAAGGAGUCCUGUUCAAGCUCCACAGAGUUUAUGGCCUCCAAGGGCAGACAUCAGAUAGCUGUACAGGUAACAGAGCCCAUGGAAAAGGAGAAAAUGACAGGCUCAGGAGUCGCUGGCAUGCUCUGCAAGGUGGCUGGGGUGGGCAGACAGUGAUGCUAGCAAGAGCUAUGUCCACUUCAUGAUCUCAAAGGCCUGAAGAACACCACAUCUGAGAGCCGGGCCCCAGCCUAGCACUCUGGGUGGGAGUGGGGAUGAUGGGGCAUGGUUGGGGGUGGGGCAUGGAAGGAUGCUGAGUGAUAGUGGAAAGUGAUGGAGCAUGAUGGGAGGUACAAGCCCCACCAGCACCUCCAGACUCCCAGGAAACAUGACCUUUAUAGUUAAAGACAAGACACAGGUUGGGGCUCCCUCCUUUGUCCUGGGCCCUAAGCUGCUGUCCUGACCAGGAGCUCCGAGGGGAAGGAUGGUUUGUGAGUACAGCACAGGUUAGUCGGGUAGGCGGUAGCAAGAUAGAAGGCAUAGUGAUGAGCCUUGAUCUAGUUACCAUCAGGGACCCCAAGGGAACAGCAGUGAAUGGGGGGGUAUGGGGCGUAUGUGGUGCAGGUGUGCUUCUGCGAGAGAGCAAAUCCCAGGCCCCGCUUAACUGCACCAUUAUUUAUUUUGAUGCCUUCGUGGUCCAUGUUAGGGUGCAGGUGAAAUAUGACUGUAUCGUUUACUGGUGGGGAUGUUAAUUGCACGCCACAGAGAACAACAAACCCACAUUUGAGGUAUAGAUCACUAUGGCAGCCCCGGCAGACUGUGUGGGGUUGCUGUGUGGGGACUGGAUAGUUGGAGGAAGUGCUCUGUGAGCAGCUCUGCAGAAGGAGGAUGGGGGAGCACUGGAGAUGUGGACGUCAGGGGAAGGGUCACCUCCCAGGUUAGUGUCUCUAGUGUACAUUGUCAACUAAAAAAUAAGAACUUUGUGACCUCUUCUGAGGGCCAGAUAGGGCUGGUGACUACCUCUGUCCUUAGUACACACACACAGAAGCCACGAGGGUGCCAGGGGCAAUGAAAAUGGGUUAGCAUGGCUGUCCCUCCAGUGGCCUGGGUUGAUCUGGGUGUUGAGACCUUGGAGCUAUGAGUGUAAGAACAUUCCUUUCUUCUUAAACAUUGUUGCACACUCUCUGCCAUCCCUGGGCAGGAGCAGGAGUCAGCAGGGAACACGAGGCUGCAGGGAGAGGGCAAAACACCCCUAAUGCAACAUAGCCGCAUGUGCAAAGGGCCUGGGGCAAAAGAUAAAGUUUGAACUCAGUGUCUAUAGCAGUACCUCACAGCACAGCGACUGAUUGUAAUCAUGAAGUCACACUAUGUACAAGGUCCUGAGAGGGAGUAUAUCAAUGUGUGUGUGUGUGUGUGUGUGUGUGUGUGUGUGUGUGUGUGUGUGUGUGUGACUGAUGGCAGACCUGGGAUACCUCCAGAGCUUCACUCUUGCCCCUGUAUAGAGAACAUAGGCUCUGGGGGUAUGCAUUGCUGAGUCCUGGGGUACACAUGGUCCACACUACCUCAGCUACAGACCUAGCAGAAGACAGAGUGCCAACCCCCAGUCCUAGCACCCAGAGGGGUCCUUCACUACUCUCUUCUAGCAGACAGGUCACAAGGACACUCACCAUGUACAGGACAGGAAGGAGACCUGAGCCUCCUCCUCCUGAGCAGAGAUAGCUUCUAUGGUCCCCAGGGCCUCAUCUCAUUCUCCCUGUAUCCCAACUAUGUGCACUGCAGAGGAAACCGAAGCCUGGCCAUGUCAUGAGACCUUGGGCUUAGCAGAAAAGGCUUCCCUCUCAAGCAUCAGGACCUGAGUUUCCUCCCCAGACUUAAAAAGCAGGGUGUGGUGGCAGAUCUUUCUUAUCCUUGUGCUUGGAGGUGAAGACAGACUGUCUCAAAGGCCUGAGGUAUGACACGCAAGGGUGACUCCUGGCCUUCAUAUGUACAGUCACACACAUCAAUAAACCCCAAUUGCUGGGAGGGGCCCCGCUGGAUCCGACUCAGCACUGAGUUCCCACUCUGGACAUCCAGGCCAAGCCCUUUGCUGGCCCCAGCGGUCAGUGUGGCCUGGGAGUCUCAGAGUCUGUCUGUAGGCCACACUCUCACUCCUCUGAACAGGCAAGCCCUUCAGCCCAACAGCCACUGGGGAGGAGAGGACAGCACCGUCCCUGAUCCCAGUGAGGCCAUGCAACAGCUACUGGCGGGGGAGGGACUUGGAGGAAGAUUUAUGAGCUGGGUCAAAAUUUAAUUUGGGUGGAAGAUCCCGGCCAGCCAAGCCGGCUGCCCCAGACAAAUGGCCUCGUCCCUGCUGGCUCACACCCCAUGCCAGCCUCCCCAUUCCUCUCCGGAAGGCUGCCCGCCGCCCGCAGAGAAAUCAUAGCACCAAUUUGAUUUGGGCAAGAGCGUCGGGAACUGGGGCUUGUUUGCACUUCGGUUUAAAAUUGAACAGGACAGAAUCAGCACUGCCUCUACCGGGGCCUCCCAGCCUUCCCGGGUGGCUUCUCCCCUGCCAGUGGGGCCCGCUCAGCCCACCUGCUUCCUACAUGAGUCCCCAACAAUCUUGGAGGCUCCACCUGACCUUCCAGCUUCUAUCUGCCAAGUACCCCCCAAUGCUCCCCAUGGCCUGAAAGCUAGAGAGGCUUGAAUCCCAUUGCCAUGCCAGGGAACUCAAGCAAGAGAUGGAAACCGUGAACCUCCAUGUUCCCAUCUGCAUAAUGGGAACAGUGUCACUGCAUAAACAGGCUGGAUGAGGGGAGCUGGGACUGAAACAUGGAGUGUUCUGAUACGCAUGUCCAUGACUCUCCCACAAUCCUCUGGGCUUGCUUCCUGCCAGGGCUUCUCCUUUAUGGGCACGGCUCAGCAGCCUUUGUUCUUCCCAAAGGGGGUUGGAAGAGUGCUAGUAUCCCUGAGGAUGGGACAAGCUAUUCUCAUCCUCUGCCAUUUGUUGGGUCCCUUCUAGUACUUCCCCAAGUGGGCACUGCCCACCCAUAUUACAGAUAUAAAAAGAGAAGUUCAGGGAGGGGGCAGGUGUACAGCCCUCUACCUCCCCAGCUCCUGUUCAGAUGAGGGGACAGGAAGAAGGCGGGGGGGGGGGCUCUCUCUGAGCAGCAUCUUCCCCAGUGCCCUCUCUCUGGCAUGUUCCUGCUACUGUUGGCAGAGAUCCAGGCCCAGAAAUAGCCAUGUCACCUUCGGAGGCUGAGUCCUGGGCUGCACUGCCCCAGGCCUGCAAGAGCUGAGAGCAGCAGGCAGUGGGAGGCCCAGGAAGCCAAGUGCACACAACAGGCACACUCCUGUAUGUCGGGUGGGGAUAGGCUCUGGUCUCCUCCAUCUGGCCUUACCUCCUUCAGCAGCUCCAUAAACAAGGCUCCAGGCAGGGGAUGGCAGAGCCGGGGGCUGCUUGCACUGGCCAGCACUGGCCUCACACACACACAUCCAGGAUGAAGCCAUCAGGGCCAAGACACCCUUCUCUGUAUUCUUGGGGGAUCUCUAACCAUCCCCAAGACCUCUUGGGUCGUUUCUUCAGUCACCCUGAGUCUGGUUUCAUUCCUCAUUCAUGCCAUGCUCUGUGCCUAUCAAGGCCCUGCUUGCUCUAGGCUGGGGGCUCAGCCCUGUCCCUUACAAGUGCAAAGCUAAUCCUGCCGGCGUGGUGUGGUGUGCUCAUAGGGGUGGAGAGAUUAAUGUGUCAACACAUUUGCAUUGGAACGGAGAAAUGAGAAGCUAGCUCAUGGUGAAGAGCUGGCUGAGGCCCUGCCAGCCAGCUCAGCUGCCACCCCCACCCCUGCCCCACCCCCACCCCCAGACCAUGCCUUCCCAGCAUCGCAUCAGUGUAUGGCAGCUACUGCUGCCCCAGCCUUGACCUAGAGGGGCAAGCUGGUGUGCCACGCCCUACACUGUCUCCCACUUGGAUCAGGACAGCAAGUCCCAGCACUGACCUCGUGUCAGCAUCUCCCAGCAGCCUCUCAUUAUUUACUUAUGUGCGUGUUUAUUUAUUCCCGGCUCGACUCUGAAGGAUUUGCAGUGCUUACAGAAAUAUAACAGGCAGAUUCGAAGGGAGUGGGAAACCCAGGCGGCUGGAGUCCUCAGGCUGCAGUUCAAAUCCUGAUACUCACUCGGCCCCCUUUUUUGCCAAUGUUGUCCUCUCUCCUCUCUGAGUGCAGUUUGUUUGCUAUACAGAGGGAUGAUGUCAUACAAUGUAUGAUGCUUACAGUGGGAUGAUGCCAUAUAGUGGAUGAUACUUAGAGUGGGAUGAUGCUGUACAGUGGAUGAUGCUUACAGAGAUGAUGCUGUACAGCGAGAUGAUGCUUACAGUGGGAUGAUGCUUACAGAGAUGAUGCUGUACAGCGAGAUGAUGCUUACAGUGAGAUGAUGCUUACAGUGGGAUGAUGCUGUACAGUGGAUGAUGCUGUACAGUGAGAUGAUGCUUACAAUGGGAUGAUGCUAUACAGUGGAUGAUGCUGUACAGUGAGAUGACGCUUACAGUGAGAUGAUGCUGUACAGUGGAUGAUGCUGUACAGUGAGAUGAUGCUUACAGUGGGAUGAUGCUGUACAGUGAGAUGAUGCUUACAGUGGGAUGAUGCUGUACAGUGAGAUGAUGCUUACAGUGGGAUGAUGCUGUACAGUGAGAUGAUGCUUACAGUGGGAUGAUGCUGUACAGUGGGAUGAUGCUGUACAGUGGAUGAUGCUGUACAGUGAGAUGAUGCUGUACAGUGGAUGAUGCUGUACAGUGAGAUGAUGCUUACAGUGGGAUGAUGCUGUACAGUGAGAUGAUGCUUACAGUGGGAUGAUGCUGUACAGUGAGAUGAUGCUGUACAGUGGAUGAUGCUGUACAGUGGAUGAUGCUGUACAGUGGAUGAUGCUUACAGUGGGAUGGAUGAUGCUGUACAGUGGAUGAUGCUGUACAGUGGAUGAUGCUGUACAGUGGAUGAUGCUUACAGUGGGAUGAUGCUGUACAGUGAGAUGAUGCUUACAAUGGGAUGAUGCUGUACAGUGGAUGAUGCUGUACAGUGAGAUGAUGCUUACAGUGGGAUGAUGCUGUACAGUGGAUGAUGCUGUACAGUGGAUGAUGCUUACAGUGGGAUGGAUGAUGCUGUACAGUGAGAUGAUGCUUACAAUGGGAUGAUGCUGUACAGUGGAUGAUGCUGUACAGUGGAUGAUGCUUACAGUGGGAUGAUGCUGUACAGUGAGAUGAUGCUUACAAUGGGAUGAUGCUGUACAGUGGAUGAUGCUGUACAGUGAGAUGAUGCUUACAGUGGGAUGAUGCUUACAGUGGGAUGAUGCUGUACAGUGAGAUGAUGCUUACAGUGGGAUGAUGCUAUACAGUGGAUGAUGCUGUACAGUGAGAUGAUGCUUACAGAGGGAUGAUGCCGUAUAACCCCUGGAGGUAUGUGCUACUGACCCCAGACCUGGUCUCAGCUGAUGUGGCCACCCCCGGCAAGUGCUGGAUACAGAGGUGAGCAGGGUAGUGUCUCCUCACUGCAGCCUCGUCCUCUUCCACCCUUAAGGUUCCCAUAAUUAGCAUGUGUCCUUGGCCUCCAAUAUGCCUGGUGCUGAUUCCCGUCUUCCCUCUAUGGUCUCGAUUACCCUGCUUACAGCAUCAUCCAUGUCUCACUUGUCUCACGUGUCAAGUGCAGAAAUGCUUCAGGUUCCUUUUAGAGAGAAGCUCUGUGGGUAGUGACAUGUCAACAUGCCACACACAUCAACAUGUCCCCACAGGGUAGAGGAGGGCAGCACACUGGAGUCUCAUCAGGCAUAGCACCAAGAAGUAGAUGUCCAUCCACCUCAGCCUCGCCCCAGCUUCCAACCUUGGAAGUUCACAUCCAACUAUCAGUUCACAAUGACCCAAAGCCUCUGGUGGCCAAGCUGUCUGGGCAUCCUCGAGCCAGACUCCUAGCCUUUCAUCUUGCCUAAGGAUUUCCCAAAUUGUCCUGUCUCGUGUCUACUGGCUGAGAAGGACUCCCCACAACCCCAGGGCUCUGCUACCCUCUUCCCACCAGUAGUACCGCCAUGGGCUGGGGCAUCAGUCCUCAUCCUCACGUGUCAGGCCCUGGUCCGACCUUCCUGCAUGCCCCAGCCUGCCAUCUGUGUCUCUGUUCAGCACGGAAGCCUCACACUUCUUAAUCUAAUUGUGUGAGCUGGUUGUCGUGGCGCCACACAUGACCAAUUUAUUGAUCAGCUGUGGAGAUGGUGCGGCCAUUUGGGAGGCAGCGGGUGGAAGUGCCAGUUCAGAGGUGCAGAACACUGCAAAGCCCUGGCCAUCCAGUCCCUGGGUCUCAGCUCCCUGCCUUUCCCUUGCCACCCUGAAAUUCUCCAAGGCAGCUGUUAGGGGGAGGUCCUCCUUGGCUGGGGACUUUGGUGGGUGGGAUGCCAUGUGGUUGAUCUCCCAGACCUGGCUCUGGCCUCACCUCACCUGCUCAGGCCAAGUGGAAAAGCAUUUAUGGACUGCCAGCUGAACAAUCUCCUCCUGUCCUGUCUCCACCUGCCUUGUCCCUCUCCUCUGUGGCCAGCAACCACAACCACCUGCUCUGACAAUCACACCCGUGCUCACAGAACCCCAUGUAUCAGGCAGAACCCUUGGAAGGCCAAGACCUGUCUUGGGCCAUUCUUGACAUUCUGCCAACCCUGUCAGGAGGGUCUGGCCAGGCCAGGCUACAGAACCACAGUACCACGAUGUCACCGAGUGUCCCAACCAUUGCACAACUAGGGAUCGAGUAACUCUUGGUGACUUCAUUCUUUGUAUGUUUAUUUUGUGUGAUGUGUGGACAGAGCCUGUGGCUUUGCACAUGCUAGUAUCUAUCACUGAGCCACAUCUCCAUCCAUGAUAGAUUUUAAAUGAUAAAGAAGGGUGUUUGGGCUUAAUCCCAGCACUCAGGAAGAAGAAGAAGGUGGACCUCUUUGAGUUUGAGUCCAGUCUGGUCUAUGUAGCAAGUUCCAGGGGAGCCAAGGCUAGACAGAGAGACCUUAUGGAAAGAGGAAGGGGGAGUGAUCACAUGGGAAAGACCGACCUUGAACCUUAAUAAUAACACCUAAUUGUGACCCAGUGCAGGGGGCUUCAGGGUUGUUGGGGGUCCCCUUAAGGUGCCCCAGCCCUCACUGGGGACCAGAGUUCUUGCUGCCAGAAUUUGCCUGUUGUGGCCACCUGUCUUUCCCCUGAGCAGCAGCUGGCUCUCAAAGCCAUAUGGGAAUCACCAGAGACCUUCUUCUCUCCCCACCUCCUCUCUCCUGCCUCCUGUUUCCCAACACCUGCUUCUAGGGUCCUUAAUAGUAUACAUCUAUAGAAUGGGCACUUAAAGAGGGGGCAUCCUGGAGGGUCAUACAGGCAAAAACUGUAGUGCAAGGACUGUGUUCCUCUAUCCUACACUUGAUCCCUGCUCAACAUCAGCUGUGUGCCACACACCAUGCAGGUCCCUAUCAGGCAGCUUUCACAGGGUCCUUUGACUCAAAUUUUUGUCUUCAUUUAUAGAUAAUAAAGCUGGUGCUGCUUCUUGUAUGACAGAAAAACUCUAGGGAUGUAGCUUAGUUGAUAGAGCACUUGCCUUUAAUAAUCUAGAAUCAGGCAUAAUAUUUUUUUACAACUAUGAAUACGUAAGAAUCUACUGAAUUCUAAAAUUUAAAAGGUGUGCAUGUGUGUGUGUGUGUGUGUCUGUCUGUCUGUCUGUCUGUCUGUCUCUGUGCAAAUGCCAUGUAAGUGCAGAUGUCUGGGGAAAGCAGAUGAGGGCGUCAGCUUCCCUGAAGCUGGAGCUCCAGGAGGUUGAGAGCCACGGGGAUGGAUGGGUGCUGGGAACUGAACUCCAGCCCUCUGGGAGAGCAGCAGGCACUGUUAAUCAUUGAGCCUUCCCUCCAGCCCCAAGGGGUAAGUCUGAUGGUCUGAGAGUGAUAGCCAGCCCUCCACACCCAUAGGUUCUAUAUCUGCACAUUCAAACCAAGCUUGGGUCAAAAGUACAUGGGUGGGGGCUGUCUGUAGGCUGUGAACAAUAAAACUAUGCCUGUGCCUAACAAGCAAGGACUUUUUUCUUGUCAUUAUUCCAUAAACAAUACAGUGUAACAGGAAUUUACAUAGCAUUUGCAUUGUAUUAGGAAUUAGAAAGAAUCCAAACACGAUUUAAAGUAUACAGAAGUAUACUGGUGGGCUGUGUGGGAAUACCUUAACAGUUUAUACAUACAAAGAGCUCCGGUUUCUGCGGGAUCUGGUACCUCAGGAAAGGGGCAGCCUAGAACCAUCCCCUGUGGAUGCUAGGGGUUGGUUAAGCAGUUUAGGUUUCAAAUGACUUUAAUGGCUAUGCAGCAUUUGUCAAGCCUGCGGGAGGCUCUGGGUUCCAUCCCCAGCUCCACCAAAAUAAAUAAAUAAAUACAUAAAUAAAUAAAAUUUUUAAAAACGGGGCUGGUAUGGUAAGAUGGCUCAGCAAGUAAGUGUGCUUGUCAUCAAGACUGACAGCCUGUCUGCAAUCCCUGGGCCAUAUGGUGGAAGGAGGGAAACAAUUAUCACAUGCUGUCCUAUAACCUCCACUCAUGUGCCAAGGCAUGUGCGCGCGUGUGCACCCACAAACACACACACACAAAUAAGUAAGCAAAUAAAUGAAUAAGUAAACAAAUAAAUGAAUAAACAAACAAACAAAUAAAUGUAGUGGUGGUUUGUUUUUAAGACUUAAAAGAUGAGCCGGGCAGUGGUGGUGCACACCUUUAAUCCCAGCCCUAGGGAGGCAAGAGGCAGGCGGAUUUCUGAGUUCGAGGCCAGCCUGGUCUACAGAGUAAGUUCCAGGACAGCCAGGGCUACACAGAGAAACCCUGUCUCGAACCCCCCCUCCCCCCAAGAAAGACUUAAAAGAUGAAAUUGAACCAAGCUUAUAAAGAAACCAAUCUUGGGCUCAGAGUAGGGAAUUAGACUGCUCAGGGAUGUCUGCAGAUGUGGACCCAGGCCAGUUUAGCUCUUCCCAGGAAAUUCUGUCCACACACACACACACACACACACACACACACACACUGUCUACUUCUCCUUCCUGGGGCCCUGGUGGUUCUCAGGCCUGACUUUACCUCCAAAGGGAUGUACCCCCCUCCACUCUACCUCCCUAACCCUAACCACUCCACCAUCCAUCCAUUCCUCUUCUCCAGAGAUGUUAGGGCCCCUCUAUCUUGUCCACCUCCUGCCCUCCUCUCCGACUCCAGCCCAUCCUCUUACUGUAUGCUGUAGUAUCUUGUCUCCACCAUCGGCUGUCCUAUGUACACUGGUCUCAGCUUAACUUUCCCUCCCAUCAUCUCCUCCUUACCAAAGACCCCCCAGAAAGCCUAACCCUCCCUGUCUAACUCUCAGAGGUACCAGCAGCUAGGGGAGGCAUGGCGGAGGAGGCGGAAUUGUGUCCCAUGUCAGGUCCGUGAGUCGGUUACCGGGGUAGGAUGCAAGCCAAGGCCUCUCCCCUACUCCCCAACCCCCAAACCAGCACACACACAGUGGUCUGCGCUGCUCAAGGCUGCCCACACAGCAGUCAGCCAGUUGGCCUCUAGGAACCUGAAUCGAAUCCCAGUUCACCCUUACCUUAGAACAGAACCAGUCUUCACCGGGGUCCCCCAUCUGGUCACCACCCCCACUCCACACCUUGGCUUUCUUUUAUCUUCUGGAACUUGACACAUCUGUCCCCACUUGGUGCCUGCUGGUCCCUCCACCAGGACACUCCCCAGCCAUCCAGCUCCUUGUCCUCAAGCUGGCCUCUGCCCAAAGUCACCAUCUGCUGCCUCCUCAGUCACCCUUUCUGAAGCAGCCCCUUCAGAUUAACUCUGGCAUCCCUGAAUGUGGAGCUGUCUCCCUUCCCCGUGAGGUGCAUGUGCACUAGGGACUGGCAUUGCUGUUGCAGCAAUGGUCAGAGGAUAAGGAAAGGCCCUUGUCUCUGCAUAGGGACAGAGUGCGCCUACCUCUUAGACCCCCAGGCUGAGCCCACCCAGGCAGCUCCCCUCUCGGUUUCUCCGUGGCUUGGAGGACUAGCCAGGGCGGAAUAACCAGAUUAGCCUAAGCGGCUCCUCUUGUUUCCUCACGUAAUUGGAUCGAGGCGGUGUUUCAGUGUGGCUGCAUUUAAUAUUGUAAUUCUGCAGCUGCCUCUCCGAUGAGUGCAGCCACCAGGCAGGGCCAUGCAGGGCUGUGGGCAGGGGCUCGAUGCUAACAGGGUCAAAGGGCAGGAAGCAGAGAUACUCUGUGGCCAAAGCCACCACUGCUGGGCAUGGCUGUGGAAGGGGCCUGGGACUCAGGGCCUUCCACUUCCCUGUGCCUGAUAUCACAUCUGAGAGACAGGGAGGGUCCAGCCUCAGGAUGGUCUUGGAAAGGGGCACCGUCAAGGUGCAUCGAGCAGCCGGCCACAGUCCCUAGCAGCAGGCCACAGCCCCUAGGAGUCCAAACAUGUGUUCUGUCAUCACUUUUCUUGGGACACGGCUAAAGAGACCUCAGAAGCCAAGAGCCCAGCCAGGUCUUCUAUUUGUGGGUACUCCCUGGGCUGUCACAUUGCUAGGUGACCCCCGAGACCUAAGCUUGGAUGUUGAAAGUGCAUCCAGGGACUAAGGGGGAAGGACAUGUGGUAGUGUAUUUGUGUCCCUUUGUGAAUGUGACGGCUACUGAGUGUGCCCAUUGAUCUGGUCUUGGUGGACAGAUGUCUGUCCUGAGAGUGGCACGUUUACCCUGUGAACAACACUCCUUACCCUCACCUCAAUGCCUGGAUCACCAGUGUAGCUCAGAUGGUGCAGUGCUUGCCUUGGUUACAUGUGAGUCUGAAGCCAACCUGGGCUACAAGAGAUCCUGUAUCGAAAAAGAAAUGGGGCCUAGGGGGUUCUAAGACCAGGACUCAGCUAAGGAGCUAAGGAGCAAUGCAGCCGUUCUGUUCUCAGAUGCCUCUCCAACAAGGAUGGCUUCUGCCACUGACCACAUCUGGGCCCCGUCCAGACAUAGAUAAAUCCCACUGCCUGACCAGACACCUGGUGGCAAAUGAGUAGCCACCCUUGUGGUUGGUGGUUCCAGCUGGUUCUGAGCAUUUUGAAGACCUCAGGACAGACCAGCUUCUAACACUCAAAGCAUGACCCAGACCCUGCAAGUCUGAGUGUCACCCCAGAUUAUGGGCACUGGGACUUUGGGUCCCCCACCCUGCCACCCACCCACCCCUGCUUCCUACCCGCUCCACGUGACUGCAGCUGACGACGGCUUCCAUCCAUCACUCAGCCCUAUUUUUAGGAGGUGAUAACCCAGCUGUGAAAACUCACUCCCCAUGAGGAAGUGAGCCUCAAGCAGGCAGUGAGGGAGGAUAGCAGGGUACAGGGCAACUCACUGCAGACGGGGACAGAGGCCGGGGAGCAUGUCUCGGGACCACACUGAGGCAGCACACAGCGAGGCUGCAUGGCUGUGCCCUGCUCGUACCAGUACCCACCUGCUCUGAGCCUUGGUUCCCCCAGAUAUACAGCAAGUACACCGUCACCCUCGUCACAGACUGGCUCUUACCACCUUCUGGAUACUUUGUACCCCUUCCUUGGAGAUUGGACAGAUUAAAAUAUAGGAAUGUGUUUACAUAAAUAUUUCAGACAAACAACUUUUUAGCCUAGCCUGUCCUACACAUUAGAUGAGGUAAACAUGACACACACACAGACACAGGUUUCACCCUUGAAAUGUCACUGUUUGGUGUCUCGUGUUUCAUUUACUCAGUCUGGUAACCCCGCUUCCUUGGAGCAAGCCCCUCUCCACCCACUGUCAAACAGAGUGGCCAACGGGUGCUUGUGCAGCCCGGCUGUCCCUCUUCUUCCCUCCCCACAGCUGCCAUUCCCUCUGCUUUUAUACCAUAAACCACCAGCAGCAUCCCAGACUUUGUCUAGGUCAGACUUCCAGACCCUGAAGGUGGGGAGGGCCAGCAUUUGCCUGGGCUAAGUAAACUUGUAUGCCUUGCCCUCCUCUCAGAGCCUCAGCUUUCCCCUCCGGAAAACGGGAUAGUAAGUGUCCACCAGGAGAUGCUGUUGAGUACUUGGGCAGACCAGCUGAGCCCUUGAAGCAGUGAAUUAAAGCUGCCCACAGACCCCGAUCCCACCCCCACCCCCACCCCGACUGCUUCACUCAUUCAGCAGGAAUGACCUGUGGCCAGUCUGCAGUGUGUUGUGUGUGGCUCUGGAUGCUGAGGGAGGAGAGGAGGGCGAGGUGAACCUCGGCACCUGCCUUGCAGGAACCAUAUCUUCCACCUCUGGAAAGAAGGGUCCUGAGGCAUCUGGGGAGGGUCUCGGGUUCUCACUUGAGGCUGUGGAAGGCUGAAGCAGGAGGUGAAGAGGACAGGAUGUUGUGGGACAGUGGGGAGGGGUCUGUUGCUGGGGUGGAGCAGUACUUCGAGGAGGUACCUCUAGUUGCCCACCACCUGUGGGAAAAGCCAGGUGAGAGCAGGGGCGGGGGUUGUUCCCCUCCAAUCCUACAUCAGAUUCAGGCUCUUCCCUGUGUGUCACCACAGCUGUGUGAGAUCUUUCACAUCUGGAGGAGUGGGCCAAGAACCCAGAGACAGAGUGGAGGAGGUGAGGGCCAAAUACCCUCUUCCCCACCCUACAUCCCGCUUGCGCCUGUCUGGGACUCCACCGUCUAGAAGCUGAGUAGCUUUUAAUUAGCUGCUUGACCUCUCUGAGCACUCAGUUCUCUGCUGUAAAACAGGAAUAAGAAAACUGAUGAUGCCUGUUAAAUAUCAAGCUGUGAUGGGGCCCAAGGAGUGGCUUAGACCCAAAGUAGGGUCCUGAAAUGAUGGGAGGGGCCUCAGCAACCAAUAAAGGGUAAGGAACCUUCCCUCACAGGGGCUAUAGGAGGGAGGGCCAUUUUGAGAGUAGGCCUAGGUCAGGGGAGGCCAGGUCCCCAGAAUCUAGACAUGACCCAGGAUUCCCUGGGAGGACAAGGCUGACAUGUACUGAUCAUGGCCUUGAACCAUUGUGAGCUGCCCUGUGGAGUUAGCCUCAACCCCUGGUCCCCAUUAUGGAACCAUAAUGCCCAGAGAGGGUAAUGUGCGACCUUGAGUCACAAUGGCAUCCAAGCUUGCCCCCAAGGCCCAGGAAUCCCUGUGCCCACACCUUCCUUCAGCUAUGGCUCCCCAGCUCUCCUUUCUAACCCCGAGGAGGUGGGUGCAGGAGUCACCAGCCCUCCUGUCCUGGGUAGCAUCUCUCUGACCGACUGCAGGGGAGGGCUCCAGUUGGAGAGAGGGUGUAGAGCCAGAAUACGCCCAGCGAUCACCAAGGGAGGAAGGCACAGCAGGAGGAGGGCCCAGCGGGGGCAGAGGCCUGGCGCACAGCCGGGUGCACAGGGAAACAAGAGAAGCACGCGGCCCCUCCGUGAACCUGAACCGUGGAAGUCUCUGGAGCGUGGAGCAGAGCCAGCCCCUCCUUGUCUACUUAGCCAAUCUCUAGAGGGCUCAGUCCCACACACCCCCUUCCCCCAACUAUCUCAACGGGGGUCCUCAUCCCCUCUUCUUCCUCCCUUCUCCCUCCAAAAUGAGAAAGAGGGGAAAAAAACUGUUAUUGUUCACGCCUCAUCUCCCCCCAAAGUUAUUAAAUUUCAUUCCACGAACAAAUAAAUCCAUUUUUAUUGCAGCAGGA